AAUCACAUUAGUGUUUACUUGUAUGAAAAUUAGAAUAAUACAGAGAAGACCAGCAUGGCCCCUGCUCAGUGAUAACAUGCAAGUUCAUGAAGUGAUCCAUUUAAAA
ensembl:snRNA U6 U6 spliceosomal RNA